CCCUUAGAUGUUCUGGGCGGCCCGCGCACUACAUUGGCACUAGCAAAGAGAUCCUAGAUUGAAUUCUUUGGGGUAUUCUUCUAAAUGGUGUCGUGACUGGGAUAAAUCCUUGUAAUUAUUGGUUUUGAACGAGGAAUUCCUUGUAAUCGCGGUUUAUCAGCUCGCGUUGAAUGCGUCCCUGCCCUUUGUACACACCGCCCGUCGCUCCUACCGAUGGAUCGUCCGGUGAAGCUCACGGAGUGACUGUUCACGCAACGGUUUACGAGGUGAAAUGGACCUCACGAUUUAGAGGAAGGAGAAGUCGUAACA
rnacentral:rRNA from 1 species